CAGUCGCCGCGGGAAUACGUAGGUGGCAAGCGUUGUCCGGAAUUAUUGGGCGUAAUGGGCUCGCAGGCGGUUUCUUAAGUCUGAUGUGAAAGCCCCCGGCUCAACCGGGGAGGGUCAUUGGAAACUGGGAAACUUGAGUGCAGAAGAGGAGAGUGGAAUUCCACGUGUAGCGGUGAAAUGCGUAGAGAUGUGGUGGAACACCAGUGGCGAAGGCGACUACCUGGCCCAGAACUGACGCUGAGGUGCGAAAGCGUGGGGAGCGAACGGGAUUAGAGACCCCCGUAGUCCCUGUCUCUUAUAC
rnacentral:rRNA from 1 species